UACGAAGGGGGCUAGCGUUGCUCGGAAUUACUGGGCGUAAAGGGCGCGUAGGCGGCCUUCUAAGUCAGACGUGAAAUCCCUCGGCUCAACCGAGGAACUGCGUCUGAUACUGGAAGGCUUGAAUCCGGGAGAGGGAUGUGGAAUUCCAGGUGUAGCGGUGAAAUGCGUAGAUAUCUGGAGGAACACCGGUGGCGAAGGCGGCAUCCUGGACCGGUAUUGACGCUGAGGCGCGAAAGCUAGGGGAGCAAACGGG
rnacentral:rRNA from 1 species